rnacentral:rRNA from 1 species
UACGGGGGGGGGCAAGCGUUGUUCGGAAUUACUGGGCGUAAAGGGCUCGUAGGCGGCCAACUAAGUCAGACGUGAAAUCCCUCGGCUUAACCGGGGGAACUGCGUCUGAUACUGGUUGGCUUGAAUCCGGGAGAGGGAUGUGGAAUUCCUGGUGUAGCGGUGAAAUGCGCAGAUAUCAGGAGGAACACCGGUGGCGAAGGCGGUUCUCUGGGCAUGUCCUGACGCUGAGGAGCGAAAGUGUGGGGGAGCGAACAGG